AUUGAACGCUGGCGACAUGCCUUACACAUGCAAGUCGAACGGCAGCACGGGUGCUUGCACCUGGUGGCGAGUGGCGAACGGGUGAGUAAUACAUCGGAACAUGUCUGUAGUGGGGGAUAGCCCGGCGAAAGCCGGAUUAAUACCGCAUACGAUCUACGGAUGAAAGCGGGGGACCUUCGGGCCUCGCGCUAUAGGGUUGGCCGAUGGCUGAUUAGCUAGUUGGUGGGGUAAAGGCCUACCAAGGCGACGAUCAGUAGCUGGUCUGAGAGGACGACCAGUCACACUGGGACUGAGACACGGCCCAGACUCCUACGGGAGGCAGCAGUGGGGAAUUUUGGACAAUGGGCGAAAGCCUGAUCCAGCAAUGCCGCGUGUGUGAAGAAGGCCUUCGGGUUGUAAAGCACUUUUGUCCGGAAAGAAAUCCUUGGCCCUAAUACGGUCGGGGGAUGACGGUACCGGAAGAAUAAGCACCGGCUAACUACGUG
rnacentral:rRNA from 1 species